CUGAGACGGAUAUCCUGGGUGGCGCUUGGUUUCUCCACGGCCUGUUUCCUGCAACGGAAUCUUACCGUUCAGUUUGCAGAUGCACUGAUCCUGGCUGUGGCCACCCAAUGCUGUCCUGAUCCCAGGCGCAGAGGAAAGAGUUCAGUAACGACCUGGCACUUGUCAUAAGAGAAGAGGCCUCAGCCGGUCCUACCUCUGGUGGAGUGAUGCCCUCACUCUUCCUCCCACCGGCCAUGUCUCUGGGACUGGCCAAGGGGCGAGGAAACCAGACCCUACCCGACC